CGGCGGGGCGGUCUUUACGCGCGGGUGGAGUCAGGCUGGACCCCCGUCUUGUUUCUGCAGCUGGAGAUCACUCACCCCUCUCUUGGGAACAGCCUUGUAAGGCUCAGCUGGAUAUGAGAUUUAUUGUGCCCAACUGAAUAAUCCAGGAUAAUCACCCCAUCUCAAUAUCCUAAACCUUAAUCACAUGUGGAAAUCCCCGUUGUCAGGUUUGAAUUGUGCAGGUCCACUUCAUGGAUUUUCUUUUGCCUCCGCCACCCUGAAGACAGCGAGACCAGCCCUUCUUCCUCCUCCUCCUCCUCAGCCUGCUCAACAUGAAGGUGACCAGGAUAAAAACCUUUAUGAUGAUCCACUGCCACUUUAUGAAUAAUUUUUAUACUCAAGGCUAUUAGCAGUGAUUCUUGGUUCAGACAUUAGAACCCUCAGACAGAAUUCAAAGGACUGAGUUUAUCAAGAUGGAAAGAAAUGUUCA